UUCAACUGGAGAGUUUGAUCCUGGCUCAGAGCGAACGCUGGCGGCACGCUUAACACAUGCAAGUCGAACGAAGGCUCCAGCUUGCUGGAUGUCCUUAGUGGCAGACGGGAUAGUAACGCGUGGGAAUUUGCCCAAUAGUACGGAAUAACUGCGGGAAACUGCAGCUAAUACCGUAUACGCCCUCCGGGGGAAAGAUUUAUCGGUGAAAGAUGGGGCCGCGUUAGAUUAGCUAGUUGGUGAGGUAA
rnacentral:rRNA from 1 species